CGCUCUGGGAGAGUUUAUAGUCCUGACAGUUGAACACUGGAUGACUGACAGCUGUCCUUCAUCACAACGAAGACACAGAAAUCCUCCUCAUCUAAAACAUGACUUUGAUCUGCGUCCUCAUCUGGACUCUCCUCUGCUUCACUCAGGGAUCUGAUGGACAAAAUGUUGUUGUGACUCAAUCAGCAGCCGAAUCAGUGCAGCUCGGUCAGACGGUCACUAUCGAGUGUACGGCCAGUCAGGCACUUUCAAUAUUUCAGUGUAACUCCAACUCGCAGGUCUGCCUGUCCUGGUACCAUCAGAAACCUGGAGAAGCUCCUAAAGCUCUUAUAUAUGGAAUGUCAUCCAGAUUUUCAGGAAUUUCCUCCAGAUUCAGUGGAAGUGGAAAAGGAAAUGGAUUAGACUUCACUCUGACCAUCAGUGGAGUUCAGGCUGAAGAUGCAGGAGUUUAUUACUGUCAGAGUUAUCAUUACAUCAACAGUCAGAACGUGUUCACACAGUGA